GACGAACGCUGGCGGCGUGCUUAACACAUGCAAGUCGAACGGAAAGGCCCUGCUUUUGUGGGGUGCUCGAGUGGCGAACGGGUGAGUAACACGUGAGUAACCUGCCCUUGACUUUGGGAUAACUUCAGGAAACUGGGGCUAAUACCGGAUAGGAGCUCCUGCUGCAUGGUGGGGGUUGGAAAGUUUCGGCGGUUGGGGAUGGACUCGCGGCUUAUCAGCUUGUUGGUGGGGUAGUGGCUUACCAAGGCUUUGACGGGUAGCCGGCCUGAGAGGGUGAUCGGCCACAUUGGGACUGAGAUACGGCCCAUACUCCUACGGGAGGCAGCAGUGGGGAAUAUUGCACAAUGGGCGGAAGCCUGAUGCAGCAACGCCGCGUGCGGGAUGACGGCCUUCGGGUUGUAAACCGCUUUCGCCUGUGACGAAGCGUGAGUGACGGUAAUGGGUAAAGAAGCACCGGCUAACUACGUG
rnacentral:rRNA from 1 species